UACAGAGGUCUCAAGCGUUGUCCGGAUUUACUGGGCGUAAAGAGCGUGUAGGCGGCCAAACAGGUCCGUUGUGAAAACUGGAGGCUCAACUUCCAGACGUCGACGGAAACCGUGUGGCUAGAGUCCGGAAGAGGAGAGUGGAAUUCCUGGUGUAGCGGUGAAAUGCGCAGAUAUCAGGAAGAACACCAAUGGCGAAGGCAGCUCUCUGGGACGGUACUGGCGCUGAGACGCGAAAGCGUGGGGAGCAAACAGG
rnacentral:rRNA from 1 species